GGACGUAUUAUGUUGGGAAAUAGGAGUUGAAAUUCUGUCCACUUCAUUCUGAAAAUUAAUGGGAUCCUUCAGUACGGAAAUGAGAUGGAUAAUCGCAUGUGUCCAUAAGUGAAGAACCACAAAGAUCUUCACUAUCCUACUGUCCUGCUUCCAAUAACUCCCUCCACAAAAUAUUAUCCCAGGCUCUCCAGGGUGAUGAGCAGAAAACGUGCUUUGGAAAAUAAGUGUUGUACGGUUUGAUGGCAGUAGGACGGGAGCUCAUUACAGCCUUCAGCACAUCACAGCAUUGAGCAGAAAUGAGAGUAAAGAUGGCUUUGCACUAACUGCAGGUCUGAGACCGCAGUGAUGGCCACAGAUGGAGGAUGGAGGAGAGCAGGGAUGAGGUUGCCAUGGAUGGGACCCAGGGAGCAGGCAUGAAUGUUGGCAGAGAAAGAGAGGAGCUCCCUGGAGUUGGAUCUGCCAAGUCUCUUACAUGGGAAUGGGCCUGGCAGAGGAGAGGUUCUCUCUGUGGAAGAGCCUUUGAGUGUUGGGCGAGCCUGUAUCAUUCACUUUCUAUUAGUAAUGGGAAGACAUUUCUACGAAAGGUCUAUUUAUACAUCCAAGGAAGAGAGGACUGUUAAUGUAAACCAUGUAUGUCAUUUGUGUUUGGAAGAACAUUAUUUGUG
ensembl:lncRNA